UACGGAGGGUGCAAGCGUUAUCCGGAUUCAUUGGGUUUAAAGGGUGCGCAGGCGGAAUGAUAAGUCAGUGGUGAAAUCCUACAGCUCAACUGUAGAACUGCCAUUGAUACUGUCGUUCUUGAGUACAGUUGAAGUGGGUGGAAUGUAUCAUGUAGCGGUGAAAUGCAUAGAUAUGAUACAGAACUCCGAUAGCGAAGGCAACUCACUAAACUGAAACUGACGCUCAUGCACGAAAGCGUGGGGAGCAAACAGGAUUAGAUACCCUGGUAGUCCACGCUGUAAACGAUGAUCACUCGUUGUUGGCGAUAUACUGUCAGCGACUGAACGAAAGCAAUAAGUGAUCCACCUGGGGAGUACGAUCGCAAGGUUG
rnacentral:rRNA from 1 species